GAGGGUAUAACUCAAUGGUUAGAAUACAUGUUUAGCAUGCAUGAGGUUCUGGGUUUAAUCCCCAGUACUUGUG
rnacentral:tRNA from 1 species